rnacentral:rRNA from 1 species
AGCUCCAAUAGCGUAUAUUAACUUUGUUGCAGUUAAAAGGCUCGUAGUCGAAUUUAUGGCUGCAUUGCGUAGGCCAUCCGUCAAGAACGGUAUGUGCUAGCGUCAAUGCGUCAUCCUUCUGGAGAGCACUUCUGCCCUUGAUUGGGUUGGUUGUUGUAAUCCAGAUCAUUUACUGUGAGUAAAUCAAAGUGUUCAAAGCAGGCUUGUGAAGCUUGUAUGGUGUAGCAUGGAAUAAUAAGAUAGGACUUGGGUUCUAUUUUGUUGGCUUUCAGAACCAAAGUAAUGAUCGAUAGGGAUAGUUGGGGGUGCUAGUAUUUAACGGUCAGCGGUGAAAUGCGUAGACCCGUUAAAGACUAACUUAUGCGAAAGCAUUCACCAAGGAUAUCUUCUUUGAUCAAGA